UAUAAGGUCAUUAUUAACCCUAGUUAAGGAAAAAAAAAGCCCUUAUAUAUAUAUAUAUCAACGCUAAUCCGUAGCACCAAUCUCUCAGCUUCUCCUUCGUCUUCCCUGAUUGAGUUUCUGAUUAUCAAUUCCCCCUCCCUUAAUCGUCCAAGAACAUGGCAACAGUGGCACCAGUUUAUGCAGCUUCUUUCGACUCCAUGGAGUCUCGCAAGAGGAAACUCAACCGAGUUCCAUUGCCGUAUUUGAUCCGACCUUUUAAGAGACAGCCCGUUUACGACACCUCUAUAACGAUUUCAUUGCAUAUUCAUCUCUCGAGGAUGAGUGUGAUGACGAAGAACCAUCUGUGAAGGCUGGUCGAACCUCUUUGGAGAAUGCUAGCUUAUCUGAUACUGUAUCUGCGGGUUCGCUGACUGAUGAAGAAUACGUGGUUGUGGACAAUGUUGAAGUUUCGCCAAAUCCUAAAACUGAGAGGGCAGGAGCGAUUCAAAUGAUGGAGCUCUCAAAAUCUGUUCAUGAGAUGACACUCGACGAUGCAGGAUCCGACAACGAAGAUGCAGGAUCCGACAGUGAUGCUUGGGUGGUUCUGUAAACUAAGAAGUUUAUGUUUGGUUGGGGUUUUAGGAUAAUGGAAUCAGUUUAUUUCUCUUCUCUGCCUCUUGUUUUCUGAACGGUUGACAAUUUUGUGAAGCUUUCUAUUAUGAUGAUCAGUACAUAUGACAAAGAUGGUUUCCGAUUGAAUAA